UCUGGCUAGAAUUAUACCUUCUUCUUCCCCCUCCCUCCAAAUCAGUACUCCAAGAACCCCAGUAGUUUGUGGAACCCGUAAUACGACCCGACCCGAUCCGAUCCAGAAUCCUAAAUGGAGAGGACGUCGGCAUCUCGCUCCGACGGUGUCAUUGGCAGAAUCAGACGUGCUGCUUUCAAUCUCUACUCCGAGAUUCAAACGCAUGUCACUGUGAAGCAGCUAGAAGAUGCUGUUGCCGAACCAGUAGAAGCUCAUGAAAACUGCCUAUAUUAUUCAUCAGCGAUUCAAUCUGUUAUAUAGAUUUGCUAACACUUACUGAAUUAAUACCAUCUGUUGCUUGCAUGUUUUAACUAUAGUUAACUGGUUUUAAGAAGUUGCUUGAUACUGAGUUUGAAAAGGUCAAGGCUAGUUCAUCCUCAGGUCCACAGAAUCAUCCUCUGAUACAUCAGUUCUGACAAGCUGUCUGGAAUGUCCAUCAUGCUAGUCAGCCAAUGCUAGGUGAAGAGCAGGAGGAUAUUGUAAUGACCGGUACGAAGAGAAAUAUUAAGAAACAGUUAUGCAUUCCCUGUUUGAUAUCACGGUUUUGAGUCACAAUGGCCUCCCCUAGCUGAUUAGAUUUCCUUUGUAUGGUCUUAAUGCAUAUAAUUAGAAGUGCAAUUAUGCAGCAUUCUUACUGUAAUAUCUUUCUUCUUUCUCCUUCAGAUUUUUGAACCCAUUUACUUCUUUUUGAAACUCGGAUACUCAUAUUCCUAUAUUUUACUGAAUCGUUCUAAAUUCAGUUCAUGAUCAAUAUGGGGUUAACUUUUGAGAAGGUUUUGCUUCUAAGAGUUUAUCUUGGACUGGGGUUAAGCUGCCAAGCUAACCCAAAGGAAGAAAAAGUUUUAUGAGAGCAUACAUAAAAGAUUUUCAAAUACAUAUAUUAAAAGAGUUGGAUGCCGUUUUGGUUAGAUUUAUCAAUUUAUACAUUUGUAUAGUAUUGUAUUAAACAUGUGUAAAAUAUGAA